GAUGAACGCUAGCGGCAGGCCUAAUACAUGCAAGUCGAGGGGCAGCGGGAGUAGCAAUACUUGCCGGCGACCGGCGCACGGGUGCGUAACACGUAUGUAAUCUACCCUUUACUGGCGAAUAGCCCGAAGAAAUUCGGAUUAAUGCUCCAUAAUAUCACUGGAAGGCAUCUUUUGGUGAUUAAAGUUCCGACGGUAAAGGAUGAGCAUGCGCGAUAUUAGCUAGUUGGUGAGGUAACGGCUCACCAAGGCGACGAUAUCUAGGGGUACUGAGAGGUUACACCCCCACACAGGUGCUGAGAAACAGACCAGACUCCGAAGGGGGGCAGCAGUAAGGAAUAUUGGAGAAGGGUCGAAAGACUUAUCCAGCCAUGCCGCGUGCAGGAUGAAUGCCCUAUGUGUUGUAAACUGCUUUUAUACGGGAAUAAACCCGGGUACGUGUACCCGGCUGAAUGUACCGUAAGAAUAAGGGUCGGCUAACUUCGUGCCAGCAGCCGCCGUAACAC
rnacentral:rRNA from 1 species